CCUACGGGAGGCUGCAGUGAGGAAUAUUGGUCAAUGGACGAGAGUCUGAACCAGCCAAGUAGCGUGAAGGAUGACUGCCCUAUGGGUUGUAAACUUCUUUUAUAUGGGAAUAAAACGUUCCACGUGUGGGCUUUUGUAUGUACCAUAUGAAUAAGGAUCGGCUAACUCCGUGCCAGCAGCCGCGGUAAUACGGAGGAUGCGAGCGUUAUCCGGAUUUAUUGGGUUUAAAGGGUGCGUAGGCGGAAUGCCAAGUCAGCGGUAAAAUCGCGGGGCUCAACCUCGCUCCGCCGUUGAAACUGGCGUUCUUGAGUGGGCGAGAAGUAUGCGGAAUGCGUGGUGUAGCGGUGAAAUGCAUAGAUAUCACGCAGAACUCCGAUUGCGAAGGCAGCAUACCGGCGCCCAACUGACGCUGAAGCACGAAAGCGUGGGUAUCGAACAGGAUUAGAUACCCGGGUAGUC
rnacentral:rRNA from 1 species